CCUGUGGCGUACAAAUGGAGAACAAAGAUGGUUACGUGGAGUUAAUGUUUAAGUUUAACCAUGACUUGCUAACUAGCAUGUGCGGAACCCUACUCACCCUUCUCGUUUCCUCAGCUACGCAUCAAGCUCUUCUUUCUUCGCCUCAAUUUCAAAAUCUGGUUCAGCUGCUGAUAGUAACUCAACAAGGUGAAAACCAAGAAAGUCAUCUGGGUGGACACAAUCUGAAGUAGUCGAUGCUGAGGAUGGAGAUGAUGUUCAUGGUGGAUAUGGAGAAGGGGAUGCUGAUGAUGAAGAAAAAGACCCUUCUGAUGGUGAUGAUCAUGGGAACAUUUCUAAUGACCCAAAUGGCAACUCCAACGAGGGAGCUGAAGUGGGAGAGGCUAAUGGGGAUGGAGAUGAUGAAGGCGGCGAAAAUGG